CCAUCAACAUCUGUGUACAAGUACUUGAAUGGACAUUACUGUUUGUUUCUUCGCCCCCACCCCGGUUUUAUUGAGAUAUAAUUGACAUACAACAUUGUAUUACUUUAAGGUAUUUCUGGUUUCUUUUCUUUUGUUUGUUUUUUUGAGGAAGAUUAGCCCUGAGCUAACUGCUGCCAAUUCUCCUCUUUUUGCUGAGGAAGACUGGCCCUGAGCUAACAUCCAUGCCAAUCUUCCUCUACUUUAUAUAUGGGACGCCUACCACAGCAUGGCUUGCCAAGUGUGCCAUGUCCGCACCCGAGAUCCAAACCGGUGAACCCCAGGCCGCCGAGAAGCAGAAUGUGCGAACUUAACCACUGCACCACCAGGCCGGCCCCUCUUUCUAGUUUCUUAAUGUGGAAAUUGACGUCCUUGAUUUGAAACCUUUCUUCAUUUCUAAUAUAUUCAUUUAGAACUAUUAAUGUUCCCAACAGUUUGCUUUCGCAAAAUCCUACAAAUUUUUAUGGACAGUGUUUUAAUUUUAAUUCAUUUCAAUUUUUUUUUUUUAUUUUUCUCAUGACUUCUUUGUCUCAUAGAUUAUUUAGAAGUUUUGUUUUCCAAAUAUUUGGAAGAUUUUCCCGAAAUCUUUACGUUAUUGAUUUCUAAUUUUAUUCCAUUGUGGUCAGAGAACAUGCUAUGUAUGACAUGAAUUCGUUUAAAUCUAUUGAAGCUUGUUUUAUGGCCCAGAAUGUGGUAUAUGUUGAUGAAUGUCUCUAGUGCACUUGAGAAGAAUGUGAAUUCUGCUGUUGUUGGAUUGGCUGUUAUAUAAACGUCAAUUAAGGCAAUUAGACGAUCCUGACAUUCAGUUUUUCCAUACUGUCAUUUUUCUUUCUGUUUACUCUGUUUAAUUUGCUCUUUUUCUGAUUUCCCAAUGUGGAAGAUUAAAUCAUUGGUUUUAAAACUUUCUUUUCUAAUGAAUGGUUUACUGCUGACAUUUUCAUAUAAGGACUGCUUUAGCUGCCUACUACAAAUCUUGGUUUGUUUUGUUUUCAUUUUCAUUUAGUUCAAAAUAAUUUCUGACUUACCUUGUGAUUUCUUAUGUGGACCAUGGGUUAUUUACUGCUGCAUUGUUUAAUUUAUAAAUAUUUGCUGAUUUUCUAG
rnacentral:lncRNA from 1 species